rnacentral:rRNA from 1 species
CCAGACUCCUACGGGAGGCAGCAGUGGGGAAUAUUGGGCAAUGGACGCAAGUCUGACCCAGCAACGCCGCGUGAAGGAAGAAGGCUUUCGGGUUGUAAACUUCUUUUAAGGGGGAAGAGCAGAAGACGGUACCCCUUGAAUAAGCCACGGCUAACUACGUGCCAACAGCCGCGGUAAUACGUAGGUGGCAAGCGUUAUCCGGAUUUACUGGGUGUAAAGGGCGUGUAGGCGGGAGAGCAAGUCAGACGUGAAAUUCCAGGGCUCAACCCUGGAACUGCGUUUGAAACUGUUCUUCUUGAGUGAUGGAGAGGCAGGCGGAAUUCCGUGUGUAGCGGUGAAAUGCGUAGAUAUACGGAGGAACACCAGUGGCGAAGGCGGCCUGCUGGACAUUAACUGACGCUGAGGCGCGAAAGCGUGGGGAGCAAACAGGAUUAGAUACCCGUGUA